GAUGAAGAACGUAGCGAAAUGCGAUACGUAAUGUGAAUUGCAGAAUUCAGUGAAUCAUCGAAUCUUUGAACGCAUAUUGCGCUCUCUGGUAUUCCGGAGAGCAUGCUUGUUUGAGUAUCAGUAAACACCUCAACUUCCAUACCUUUUUUGAAAUGGGAGUUGGACUUGAGUGAUCCCAACGCUUUUCCUCACCGAAAAGUGGCGGGUUACCUGAAAUGCAGGUGCAGCUGGACUUUUCUCUGAGCUAUAAGCAUAUCUAUUUAGUCUGCCUAAAAAACAGAUUAUUACCUUUGCUGCAGCUAACAUAAAGGAGAUUAGUUCUUGUGCUGACUGAUGCAGGAUUCACAAAGACAGGCUUCGGCCGACUUUGUAAACUCGAUCUCAAAUCAAGUAAGACUACCCGCUGAACUUAAGCAUAUCAAUAAGCGGAGGA
rnacentral:misc_RNA from 1 species